rnacentral:lncRNA from 1 species
UCUAAGAUCUCUAAGAUGCAUGCAUAUGUAGGAUUUAAUUUUGUAAUGAAGUUUAAAGUUUAGUCUAUUUAUUUAUUAUUUCUUUUUUGUCUUAUCUUUGAUCUACCAAGAUUUUUAUUUUUAUCAACCAUCUCUACUUUUUAAACUUAUGCAAUUGCUUCAUUAUUCUUUAAUUCUCAUCAGAGAAAUGAAAUGUUAUUUGGAUACUCCAAAUUACUACUGUUUCUUCCAAAUUAUCAGACAAGGCUAAUAGAUAGAACUGUCCUUUUAAAUGUCUAUGGGUCUUGACCUUUACUAAUAUCUGAUCUCUUCUUCAACCUCGUCUUUUUUUUUUUUUUUUUUGUUAUCUUUUUCUUUCCUUAAGAUACGGAACAUUUUAUUGAUAAAUGAAACGUGAAAGGCACCGGUCUGGACAAACCAACAGAAGAACAAAAAUUCCCACUAUUGGUAGAAAUCAUAACUAUUAAAGUUCUAUUUAAGUAAGACCAAGGCGAAGCUAUAAAAUAAUGUUCUCCCACAUCAUCCACUGUCUCUGCUCACAUUUGGAUAGAUCCUGCUGUUUUCUUCCAACCAAAGCACCUGAAGAAUGCAUCAAAUGGCAUACACGUUUGGAUGCAGUGGCUUUGGAUGUAGUAAAGAAGAAAUCUCGAGUAGAAUUUGUGAAGACUAUAUUAUAAUAUCUUUGUAAUUUUUGUUUGGAUUGUCUGGAGGGAUGAAUUAUGAAAACUUAGAUUUAUACUGUAUAUGAUUUACAGAAACUAAUACGUAGGAUAAAAGAUAGAUUCAUAAGUAUGAGCUUAUGUAACCUGUUUGACAUGCAAGCUUGUAUCUUGGGAUAUACCAGCCUGAAAUAAGCCAAUCCUUCCCUGCCAUUUGAAAUCUGAAGGAAUCCAAGUCUCUGUUCUUACAAUUCAAUGAUUUUCUUUUGACUUUACUUUGUCUGGAGGUGGUGCAGUGGGUUUAGCCUAAUGGAAUGUCUAUUUCCCUCCCCUUUUUCUCCAAACUCUAAAAUAUUUGAUGAGCUGCUCUAAUAUAAACCAAUUCUACCUCUUGUUGACAUUGGUGCAGGGA